rnacentral:misc_RNA from 1 species
GGAUCAAACUCUAGCUAGCUCUGUUCUCCCCUCCCUGAAUUCCACCCACCAAACCCCCUUGCUAUGGUAUACAGUGGCUAACUGUAGCAGGCAACAGCAGCAGCCAUCUUGUUUCAACAUCAACCUCUAUUUGGUAUUGAUUAUACCGCUAUGCCCAUCUUCCCAACGUCAAAUAUGCCCACUUUUGCUAAAGCUUAUCACUUGGUAAUGAGGAUUGUCAAUGCAGAGUGACAUGUGAAGAGAUGUGAUAACGAAAUACACGUGGACUUG